GGGCCUAUAGCUCAGUUGGCUAGAGCGUACGACUGAUAAUCGUAAGGUCGGUGGUUCGAGUCCACCUAGGCCCACCA
rnacentral:tRNA from 1 species